GCUAUCAUGAGGUAGCAGGGAGAGGAAGAGAUAGCGAAAUCAAGUCAUUACGAAUAGAAACGUGAUACUAAGGCGCCUAUAGCGGAUGAGGUGGUCAUAAACACUAAAGCUCCAAAAGGUAGUCGUAACCUAUAGUCGUAAAUCACAAGUGUAACCGAGAAAAGAUGUU
rfam:Streptococcus sobrinus W1703 genomic scaffold Scaffold33, whole genome shotgun sequence.